UACCACCAGACCACCAAAGAGGGAACGCUAGGCUACGCUACCACCAGAUCACCAAAGAGGGAACGCUAGGCUACGCUACCACCAGAUCACCAAAGAGGGAACACUAGGCUAGGCUACCACCAGAUCACCAAAGAGGGAACACUAGGCUACCACCAGCUCAUCAAAGAGGGAACACCACAGAGGGAACGCUAGGCUACGCUACCACCAGAUCAGAGGGAACACUAGGCUAGGCUACCACCAGCUCAUCAAAGAGGGAACGCUAGGCUAGGCUACCACCAGUCCACUCCUUGAUAAUCUUAUACCCAUAAUGACCAGAGAUGAAAUGUCCAUUGAGACUGAGGGGGCAACGAGACACUGCUUUAGUGGGGGUAAGGUCACACAGUUUGUAUCUCAAAUGGCAGCCUAUUCCCUACAUUUGGGGUUCUUAAACUUUUUCAGCCUGAGACCCAAAUGAGAAACUGACCAUCCUCCCAUGACCAAAAUAAGAAAAAAAUACUGUGUGAUAAUCUACCACUUUGGGAGUCGUUAUUAUUUAUAUUAGUCUCCAUAAGGAAUAGAAACGAGUGGCACAUCUAUAACAUAUUUACUACAACAUCAUGAAUUCUGUGUUAUGUGGUGAUCUCCCAGAGUCCUGUGUGUUGAUCUCCCAGAGUCCUGUGUGUUGAUCUCCCAGAGUCCUGUGUGUCGAUCUCCCAGAGUCCUGUGUGUCGUUCUCCCAGAGUCCUGUGUGUCGUUCUCCCAGAGUCCUGUGUGUCGAUCUCCCAGAGCCCUGUGUGUCGUUCUCCCAGAGUCCUGUGUGUCGAUCUCCCAGAGUCCUGUGUGUAGUUCUCCCAGAGUCCUGUGUGUUGGCGCUUCCUUCAGACCCACAGAGACGAGAUGACCCCUGACCCUGAGCUACAGAGCCUGCUCACCAUCACCUCUUAUCACAUCACACUGGCCAUGGAACACCUCCGAUCCAAAAUGGAAGCCAGUUUCCUCCUCCUCCCACUCAUUCCUUAUGACACCAACUGCCACCUGCAUUACUGGUUUGGGACCUGACAUUAGACAGACAGUAAAUGAUCUGGGGUCUGUGUUCCAGGUGGUGCACUGUGACCUACGAUCAUUUCUUACAGACAGUAACCCAUACACACAGCUACAGAACAUUUAUUAGUCCUGAUCUCUGACCUGUACUUACAGGUGGUGGGUGCACUGUGACCUGGCCGGUCAGAAAACCAACUAUUACAGCUUCAAGGGGGACGUGUGGGCAUUUGGCAUCGUGCUGUGGGAGAUGCAGACAUUUGGUGAGUUUUGGAAAACAAAAUGUCUGCCAUCAUCAUUUACAAGGCUGUAUGGGUGGCUGCCUGGUGUCCAUCAUGAUAAAGACAGGUCAAAUCUUGUGUUCGUCUAACCUUUAUUUACCCAGAUAAUUAAUUGAGAACAAAUCCCAAAUUAAAUAUAAUUAUAACAACAUGGACAUAACAAAGUGGAUGUUUGUGGUUCCCAGGCACCUUACCAUACCCUAACCUGGAGACGCCAUCUGUCCCAGCCACAAGAACACAGACCUGUCCCUGAGGGCUACAGGCCAAACAUGUGACCGUGACAUCAUUGAUAGUGUCGUGGUAACAGGGUCCUAUUCAGUAGAACACGAUGUAGCAAAACAAAAACCUGUGUUCUUAUUGGACAGGUUCAGGUAAGACCUCUGUUUCCUGAACAAUAACCCAGACAUGAACAGACCCCUCUAUGGAAUACUGGAUAUAGGUUUAUUUUUUAUUCAUUUUUCUAUUCAAGGGUUUCGUCACAAAUGACACCCUAUUCAUUCAGUGCAUUCCUUCUGACCAGAAUCCUAUAUAGGGAAUAGGGUGCCAUUUGGGGAAGUACCAAAUAACAAAAAAUAAAGUUUGAAUUGAACAUCUAAAUGGAGCUGGUCUCUUUAAUACCGUUGUAAACACACUGUACUCACAUCCUGACCCCCUCAACACACUGUACUCACAUCCUGACCCCCUCAACACACUGUACUCACCUCCUGACCCCCUCAACACACUGUACUCACAUCCUGACCCCCUCAAACACACUGUACUCACAUCCUGACCCCUCAAUACACACUGUACUCACAUCCUGACCCCUCAACACACUGUACUCACAUCCUGACCCCCUCAACACACUGUACUCACAUCCUGACCCCCUCAACACACUGUACUCACAUCCUGACCCCCUCAACACACUGUACUCACAUCCUGACCCCUCAACACACUGUACUCACAUCCUGACCCCCUCAAUACACACUGUACUCACAUCCUGACCCCCUCAAUACACACUGUACUCACAUCCUGACCCCUCAACACACUGUACUCACAUCCUGACCCCCUCAAUACACACUGUACUCACAUCCUGACCCCUCAACACACUGUACUCACAUCCUGACCCCCUCAAUACACACUGUACUCACAUCCUGACCCCUCAACACACUGUACUCACAUCCUGACCCCUCAACACACACUGUACUCACAUCCUGACCCCUCAACACACACUGUACUCACAUCCUGACCCCCUCAACACACUGUACUCACAUCCUGACCCCUCAACACACUGUACUCACAUCCUGACCCCUCAACACACUGUACUCACAUCCUGACCCCUCAACACACUUAGACCUCACAUCCUGACCCCUCAACACACCAGGAACAGUAGACCUCACAUCCUGACCCCUCAAUACACCAGGAACAGUAGACCUCACAUCCUGACCCCCUCAACACACCAGGAACAGUAGACCUCACAUCCUGACCCCCUCAACACACCAGGAACAGUAGACCUCACAUCCUG
rnacentral:lncRNA from 1 species